AAGUCGUAACAAGGUUUCCGUAGGUGAACCUGCGGAAGGAUCAUUACAUUCAGUAGCCUAGCUACUUGUUUACACCCUUGUUUUUUUGCGCACUUCACUGUAUCCCUCGGCGGGCUUGCUCGCUGGUUGGACAACAUUUAUAACCUUUUUUAAUCUUCAAUCAGCGUCUGAAUUAUAUUUAAUAAUUACAACUUUCAACAACGGAUCUCUUGGUUCUG
rnacentral:misc_RNA from 1 species